CUUGAUUUUUUCGUCCAUUUUCUUUCCUUUUUUUUCCGGCUAAUUUGUUUCCAAUUUUCACAAAAUCUUCCGUUUUGUUUCCUUAUUUUUCGAAGACUUUGUUUCCUUAUUUUUAUGUUUUUAUUUCAAAAAAAUUUAUAAAUUAUAUAAUUCGAAUAUAUUUUUUUUCGGUUUUGUUUUUGAUUUAUUUGUUUUUAAAUUUUAUUAUUGAUUUGUUACCAAUAAUUUAGUGUUUCUUGUUAUAAUAAUUCUAGAUUUGUUUCCAGCUAUUUUUUUUCUAAAUUAAUAUUAUUUAUUUUUUUCCCGAAAAUUAUUACUCCUAAAUUUUGUGUUUAUUUGUUUUUUAUUAAUUUGUUUCAACUAAUUUUGUGUUUCUCCUUAAAAUAAUACUAGAUUUGUUUUCGGAUAUUAUUUUUAAAUUUUUUCAAAAAUUAGAUUUUUUUAUAAGAU
rnacentral:lncRNA from 1 species